rnacentral:rRNA from 1 species
GACGAACGCUGGCGGCGUGCUUAACACAUGCAAGUCGAACGGAAAGGCCUCUUUCGGGGGGUACUCGAGUGGCGAACGGGUGAGUAACACGUGAGUAACCUGCCCUUGACUUUGGGAUAACUUCAGGAAACUGGGGCUAAUACCGGAUAGGAGCUCCUGCUGCAUGGUGGGGGUUGGAAAGUUUCGGCGGUUGGGGGUGGACUCGCGGCUUAUCAGCUUGUUGGUGGGGUAGUGGCUUACCAAGGCUUUGACGGGUAGCCGGCCUGAGAGAGUGACCGGCCACAUUGGGACUGAGAUACGGCCCAGACUCCUACGGGAGGAAGCAGUGGGGAAGAUUGCACAAUGGGUGGAAGCCUGAUGCAGCAACGCCGUGUGCGGGAUGACGGCCUUCGGGUUGUAAACCGCUUUCGCUCAUGACGAAGCUUUGUGUGACGGUAGUGGGUAAAGAAGCACCGGCUAACUACGUG